UCGCUUCAGCAGCACAUAUACUAAAAUUGAAAGGAUACAGAGAAGAUUAGCAUGGUCCUAGUUAAUAAUGAAUGGAAGUAUUAGUUCAAAAGCACAAAAGCUUCCU